rnacentral:lncRNA from 1 species
GGCAUAAUAAUUUUGUAUGCUGCAUUCAUUCUAUUGACCAAUCAGGGAGAUUCUUUUGUAAAUACCCACACCAAUCGGAAGUCUGUAUUUCUAUGCUAAAGUUUAGGGUAUGUUGCAGCUCUAUAUCUUGCUGUUGCAAGUUGCUUUGCAUUUGAUGUUUGUUCUGGGAUAAACUAUUGAAUUAUACCUUAAAUUAAUAAUGUUUCGUGAAGUUUAGUUCAAAUUAAUAGAGAGAUGAGUGCAUAAAGUAUUUAGGGUAUUUUGAAGCUAAAUUUGUUUUAAAAUUCGUCAUUUUAGUGAAAUGAUGUGGAACACAAUGCGUUCUUUUCUACUCAUCCUGGUUGUUGUAAAGAGACAUCGGGCAUUGUAAUGAAUAGAUGAAAAUGUGUCGCUGGCAAACCUACACCAUGUGCAUUUCUUGGUGGAUAUCUUGGGCAAAUGUGCAAUAUGAUGGAUAUCUUGGGCAAAUAUCUUGUAUAAAUUGGUACAAUUACUUACCUUAAAUUACUAAAGAAGGAUGAUGUUUUAAGGUUAGUGGAUAUUUAUAAUAGUGAUAAAAUGGGGGUUCGCUGUGAAUAGGAACGAAGUAAGGCUGUCCAAUUAAUUAAGUGGAAACAAUAUUGCGGCGUGUAACAAUUUAAUCUGUAAAAAUGAUACCUGUUUAGAACAUACAAAAAGCAAAAAUUGUGGCAUAAAUAUAUCAUGAAACAUGCUUUUUACAACUACAUGCUAUGUUUAUAGGAAUUUGAAUAAGUUUUUAGUAGGCAUGAUUUAGGAUUUUUGUUUUACUUUCAUUUAUGAUUUUCUAUAAAUGCCCCAACUAGUCAAUAUAUAAUACCAUAAUGUAUAUAGAUUGUAAAUAUAUAGAUUGUAAUUUUUUUAUAGAGAAAAUAAUAGAGUUCUUAUACAACUACAUGCUGUGUUGGGUUGUUAGGGUUGAAUAAGUUUUUAGCAGGCGUGAUUUAGGAUUUUUUUUAGGAUUUUCUAUAAAUUUAGUCUGUGCCCAGACUGUCCCCCCCCCCCCCAGGUCAAAAAAUAUGCCAGAUUUGUAAAUUCUACCAAAUCUAUUCAUACCAAAAAAUUAAAUGCUCUCUUGUGUGGCAAUGUCUGCCCAACAGCACCCAGAAACUUAAUCGGUAAAACCGGUAUACUCGUCUCAAAAUUAGCUAAGCAAAUUUAUGCAAGUAUAAUUUUGAAAUGAACAAAUAAAAAACUGCCGAUCAUAUUUCGCCGGUAGCUGUACGGCAUUAGCGUCGAAUGACAGCAGACUGUAAUCCCGUGGCGGAUUGCAACAUAAUAAUGCAUGUAAUAUAUGGUUGUACUUGUAAAAUUUAUAAUUGGUGCGUGACAAGUGAGGUUGAAGCGAGCAGGCGAAGCAGCAUUCUAAUAUGUACAGAUGGGGGGCGGUUGAAGUAAAUUUUAUGAAGGUAUUGCAUUGUCGUCAUGUGUGCUUGCUAUGCACAGAACAGACUUGCUAUGCACAGAGUGUCCCACAGCAGUAUGCAUAAGUUGUUGAUCAGGAAAAUAUAAUAUUUCACAAAAUAAAAAUUAUUAAAUAUAAAUAUUUCUUGUAACAUUUGGGACAACUUUGCUUUCUUUAACGUGUAGCAUAAUUUGUCUUUGUCAUUCUGUGCAAGUAUUCACGGCAAAGAAAAUAUGCAGGCAUUAAAUAUUUCCUGCAUUAUUUCUCAAUCCUUGCUCAAUGAGAACAACAUACUUAAUUUUGUAAUAUAGGAAAAAAUAGAGUUUCUGUAAUAUGUAUGUAUCUGAAACAACUACAUGCUAUGUUGAUAGGAAUUUGAUGUUUUUAUUUUUAGUAGGCAUGAUUUAGGAUUUUUGUUUCUAUUCAUGAUUUUCUAUAAAUGGGGUGUCCAACUAAUUUGAGAUAUGUUAUGAAUUUAUGAUAUCUUUACCACAUAAAAGAGUGGCAGUGUCAUCACAACAGUAUAAAAACCAAUUACUGUGGGUGUGGGCUCUAUUUUACAAAUACUAUAUAAAUAUGCAAUACCAUAAUUUACGAGAAUAAAUACAACUAUCAGGAACAACAAGAGAGUGGAGUAGCAAGACUAUGGAGAAGUGUUACAUUUCAAACAGAUUGAUUUCCAAGUCUGGGGAUUUUCAGAUUCAUAGUUUAUAUUGAUAGCAGUAAUGUAAUAUCUGUAUAACAUACAGUUGUUAAAUUUUUUAACGUCUCUCUGGAGCCUGCAGGAGGUGAGACCCUGGGAACGAGGAUGGGGCUCAUAUUUGUUCUUAAGAGUUUUUUGUUGGGCAUAUAGAUGGGAGGGGGGAGUCGUAUAUGGGGGUAUUUUGAUAUCGUAUAUUUCAAAAUCUAAGUUAGUCCUUUAUGAACACAAUAAAACUUAUUUGAGUGUAAUCGCUUUUGUAUGUUACAAUAAAAUAAAUAAAUCAAUAAUGUCAUUGCUGUUGAAAUGACUUAAUUCAUUACUAAUAAUACUAAAGCUUGUGUUGCUGAUAAUAUACCAUCCAGCAUCUAUGUUUGGCAAAAUUGUUGCACAGACCAUAUUCCAAUGUUUGUGAUGUGACCAUUGCAUAUGGCUGUCAAAAACGUCAAGAUUAGUUAGAUUAUUGUUUUCUAAAACAUUGCACGGCUCGUGAUUUUAGAACUAUUUUUGUGCUUUAACCCAUUGAGUGGCAGCACUCUCCACUUGACAAGUAAAAUCCUGUGGCGUUAGAUAGUAAAAUACUAAAGUAGGGUGCAUCGGGGCACAAUGCAACUUAAGUAAAGGGUUAACCAAAACCAAGUUCAUAAAAAAAAUUUUCACACAGUACCGGUACCAUGCCUGUUUGUAUUUUGAAGUUCCCCGAGUACAGCAUCUGAUGCACAAGACUUGCUCUUGAUGAGUAAAAUGAUCUGAUAUCAGACAUUUGAGUUCCUUUGCAGCUUAAGGAGUUAAUCCUAUUUAUCUUGGAGAACAGCAAUUCAACUAUCUGGCUGGCUUGACAAAUAAAAUUAAGCAGGGGGUGCACUGGCAGUUAAUGGGUAACUAGACACUUGGGCAGUCUCAUUAUGAAGCAUAAAAUCGUCUGGCGUUGGACAGUAAAAUACUCAAGUAGAGCAUGCAUCAGGGCACAGUACAACCUAACGGUUUAAUUUGGGUUUUUUUUGUAGCAAAAUGGUUUAAGUUUUAUAUCUGAAUUAAUUAUUGUUUUUUUGCUUUGUUUUACAGAUCAUUACUGAACAUGCUGAUGAAAUAUUGAUUUAUAAAUGACAUGCCUUGAAGAGCAAUACAGGAGGGAAUACCUCUAUUUCUACUCAAAUUACAACAACACACCAAAGACAGUAGUUAUGAUAUGGAAAGCUAUAAAUUUAAAGAAAAUGUACCAAACGACAAAGACGAUGAUGAAAUUGGAUGCCUCGGAUGAAAUGAAAGGAUUGAUCAAAUGUCCAUGGUCAGCAGUGGAUAUUUGUGACCAAAUAAAUAUGGCCCCGUAAUGGAUAUUCAGUUAAUGGACAUACAAAGGUCACAGAAAUGUCCACUCUCAGGUACUGUUCUUUCUUUUUUGCCUGCGAACAGGCUGUAGAUACUUGUAUCCAGGCCAUCCAUUGUUUGUUUUGUUGUUCUGGGUACAAUGAAAUCCGGCAUAAAUCCUGGCGGUCUAAAUGUUCAGUAUAUUUACACAUUCGAUCUAUUUUCUGUUCAGUAGACUUUGAUAGCUUCAACGAAAGUUUAUAACGAUGAUUUUCUUUGCAAAAACUGUACUUUCGAAAUUCGUCAGCUUCUGAAUUUGAAAACCGAUCUGAAAAAAAAAGGGAACAUUUGAGUGUAUGGUUAUUGCAUGGUUUCCCUCUGUGUAAAUAUGCUGCCUUGGUGCAUAGUACGCAUUACAAGCGCAGCAACACAAUAGUUUAGACAGGGUCAUGAGGCAGGAUGUGUGCAAGAAAAGCUUUGCCAGAGUUUUGUCUUUCGAAAUACAACGACGAUUGUAAAUUGCUGUUUGAUUCUUUGUAAUAUCUCGUCGCUUUGUUAGUAAAAAAGAAUUUGUCACUUCCCUCAUCUAAACCUUUAAAAAAAAACUGGCAUCGUUGGUCUUGGGGUUAGGGGGUACAAAUGGUACCCAUAGCUUAGAGGGUGCAAAUGGUACCCGUAGGAAGACUUGGUGGAAAUCAUGUUGGUCGUUUGGAUCGGCGAGAAUAAGACAAUUAUGGUGGCAAAGUUUUUUUAAACAUUUUCUCUCCCGUAGUAAGGUAAAGCAUGUAUUUUCCUGGUAGCCGGUCUUCAUGAAAAAACAGUCCGCUACCAGUGACUAGGUCCCUUCUCUUAUGGCGGUCAUUGCGGCUCAAUACCUUCAGGGAUAUUCCUUUUCAGGGCGGUUGCAUGCGGAUAAUAUGGUCCGUCGCGUGCGCAAAAUAGUUAGGGAGAUAGACAGUUUAGAAGCGUCGAAACUUCGCAAUAUACACUCGCACGAAACGUUGCUAUUUUGCAAUUUGAAUCUGGGUUGUGCGUUUCUGGCAAAGCCUUCAGAUUCAAG